rnacentral:rRNA from 1 species
CCUACGGGAGGCAGCAGUGAGGAAUAUUGGUCAAUGGGCGCGAGCCUGAACCAGCCAAGUAGCGUGAAGGAUGACUGCCCUACGGGUUGUAAACUUCUUUUGUAAAGGAAUAAAGUGCGGCACGUGUGCCUCUUUGUAUGUACUUUAUGAAUAAGCAUCGGCUAACUCCGUGCCAGCAGCCGCGGUAAUACGGAGGAUCCGAGCGUUAUCCGGAUUUAUUGGGUUUAAAGGGAGCGGAGAUGGGUUGUUAAGUCAGUUGUGAAAGUUUGCGGCUCAACCGUAAAAGUGCAAUUGAUACUGGCAGUCUUGAGUGGAGUUGAGGUAGGCGGAAUGCGUGGUGUAGCGGUGAAAUGCUUAGAUAUCACGAAGAACUCCGAUUGCGAAGGCAGCCUACUAAAGUGCAACUGACAUUGAUGCUCGAAAGUGUGGGUAUCAAACAGGAUUAGAUACCCCAGUAGUC